UACAGAGGUGGCGAGCGUUGUUCGGAUUUACUGGGCGUAAAGGGCGCGUAGGCGGCGCCGCGAGUCGCGUGUGAAAUCCCCGGGCCCAACCCGGGAAGUGCGCGCGAUACCGCGGGGCUAGAGUGCGGGAGGGGGUGCCGGAAUGCUGGGUGUAGCGGUGAAAUGCGUUGAUAUCCAGCAGAACACCGGAGGCGAAGGCGGGCACCCGGAACGCAACUGACGCUCAGGCGCGAAAGCGGGGGGAGCGAAC
rnacentral:rRNA from 1 species